CACGGGGGGAGCAAGCGUUGUUCGGAAUCACUGGGCGUAAAGGGCGUGUAGGCGGUCAAGUAAGUGGAAUGUGAAAGCCCCCGGCUUACCCGGGGAUCUGCAUCCCAAACUGCUUGGCUUGAGUACGGGAGAGGAUAGGGGAAUUCCUGGUGUAGCGGUGAAAUGCGUAGAUAUCCGGAGGAACACCGGUGGCGAAGGCGGCGUUCUGGACUGCAACUGACACUGAGGAACGAAAGCCAGGGGAGCAAACGGG
rnacentral:rRNA from 1 species